rnacentral:ncRNA from 2 species
UUCUCAACUUGUUGUGUCGGUUCUACCGGGGAGCAGCCGUUAGACGCAAGGGGGAAAGAGCAGUGCAAAUCUGUCGCUGUCCCGCAACUGUGAGGAGAGAAUGACGCUCCAAGCCAGGAUGCCCGCCGAUAUCCUAGUCCGUGA